rnacentral:rRNA from 1 species
UACGAAGGGGGCUAGCGUUGCUCGGAAUCACUGGGCGUAAAGCGCACGUAGGCGGAUUGUUAAGUCAGGGGUGAAAUCCUGGAGCUCAACUCCAGAACUGCCUUUGAUACUGGCGAUCUCGAGUCCGGGAGAGGUGAGUGGAACUGCGAGUGUAGAGGUGAAAUUCGUAGAUAUUCGCAAGAACACCAGUGGCGAAGGCGGCUCACUGGCCCGGUGCUGACGCUGAGGUGCGAAAGCGUGGGGAGCAAACAGG